AAAAGCAGGACAAAGAUGAGCUGCUGCCAAGUAGUUCACUGCCUGGCAAGGACAAUAGGAUGUGAUAUGACUAAUCCACGGAUUCCAGGGAGGAAACGACACGCCGUGGAAAGCCUCUGAGGCUGUGAAUCCCACAGAAGAUCAGCGAUGUGGAGUCCACCCCUGAAGGAGAGACAGUCGUUUUACAAGCUGGGCACAUAUUCUAAUGCCCGUGUGACUGUCCUUUGGGACAGAUUGUCACUCUGACGGGAGUUCAUUGCGCAUUUGAGACGAGACGAAUGCUGACGGACUGGAAGAGAUGAGGACAACACAUCAUGUUCACUCAGUUGACACAGCUCCUUAAGCUGCUACAGCACAAAUAUGUGUGGCAGGCAGCCAAGCAUCUUAUCAGCCCCGAUGUUGUCUUUCUUGGUUUCAAUCCCAGUGCUUUCCAGAAGAAGAGGAGGGCCCGACGAAGAAUGCAAUUUCUUUUGACUCGCAUUUCCACUCGAGCAGUUGUCAUGCUCGUGCCUUCAAACAAACCACUGCAAAAUGUGGAAAAAUGUCUCCGAUCAGACGAGUCGCAGCAGCGGCGGCGCGGGUACGGCAGAAAUUAUGUGAGACACAUCAAAGCAGACGGGCUGAAGUUGUCUUUGAUGAUAGGCGGUUUAUCUAGAUUAUGUUAUGGCAGACGAAUACAAAAAAGAUUUACACAACAUACGCUGAAACAGAUGUUAGCAGUAUGAGUUACCAUGGGAGUGCCCCUUUCUUUCAUUUUCCAGUCAAGAAAAUAAGUUACAGGGGUGUCAUGGUGAAUGACCCCACCCCUGCAGUUUAGUGCUCGACUGAGUUCGAUUUUGCUUGAACAAGGCCAAAUUCAAACUUGGAAUGAGAACAGCAUCCUCUACUGUACUCCUGGUAAAUCGCACAGACACCGAGCUGCAGCAGCAUUUUUUUUCUUUUUUUACUUUAAGCUGUACCCAUGAACUAAGAAACACACCCACUACAGUUGGGUGUAAGUCAAAACCAAGAUGAGUGACUGUGACUGGGAAACACACACAAACACACAAAGUGGACAAGGACGUGCUAACUAGCUGAAUAAAAUGGGUGUAUGUUCGGCAGCACUUUCCCUGUGCUAUUUCCUGGCCACCUGUGUGCCAGCUAGCAUGAAUAGGAAAGUAUUGUGCUUCUCUAUUUUUUACCAUCUCCCACAGUACUCUUUCCUCCCACUCCUCCUCCUCUCAGAGCACUCCAGCACAGACUAGGUCAGACUCCAUUUGAGAAAAACUGUGACCCACGCUAGUCAUUUGGCCAAACAUUUCCAAUAAAAUGGUUGAAUCAUGUGUGGGCUGUCUUUUUUUUAAACUUUCAGUUCAGUCCAGUGUGCCUCAUAGCCCCAGCAUUUCAUGUGAACCAUAAAUAGUUGAAAUGUUAAGGA
ensembl:lncRNA